AUCCUUUAUGCCCUUCGUGUGGUGUAAUUGGUGUUGUCGAUGAGUUUAAUAUCUGAUAUGUGAGCCAUCGGCUCACAUGAUAUUAAAUUAAUUUUUUUUAUGGGGAAUUCCCAUCACAGCAGCUUGCUGCUGGGAUUCUCAAGCGUCGCCUUUGCAUUGCAUUACUGCAAAGGCCUGGCGCACCCCCA